rnacentral:rRNA from 1 species
GACGAACGCUGGCGGCGUGCUUAACACAUGCAAGUCGAACGGAAAGGCCUGCUUUCCCUUGUGGAUUGCGGGUACUCGAGUGGCGAACGGGUGAGUAACACGUGAGUGAUCUGCCCCCAACUUGGGUAUAAGCCUGGGAAACUGGGUCUAAUUCCCGAUAGGACUGCAGGGUGGUGCCUGUGGUGGAAAACGAUUUUCUAGUGGUUGGGGAUGAGCUCGCGGCCUAUCAGCUUGUUGGUGGGGUAAUGACCUACCAAGGCGGCGACGGGUAGCCGGCCUGAGAGGGUGGACGGCCACAUUGGGACUGAGAUACGGCCCAGACUCCUACGGGAGGCAGCAGUGGGGAAUAUUGCACAAUGGGCGGAAGCCUGAUGCAGCGACGCCGCGUGGGGGAUGACGGCCUUCGGGUUGUAAACUCCUUUCGACCGCGAGGGAGCCACCUGGUUGGAAGGGUGGUGACGGUAGUGGUAGAAGAAGCACCGGCUAACUACGUG